ensembl:snRNA U6 U6 spliceosomal RNA
GUUAUUUAGUUUGGCAACGCAUAUACUAAAAUUGGAAUGAUACAGAGAAGAUUAGCAUGGCCCCUGUGCAGGAAUGAUCUUUAAUAGGAGAAAAAUAAGUUUGUUCU